AGAGAGAGUCAACAAGAUGUUGAGAGAGAGAAAGAGCACCAUGUGGAGCUUCGUCAGGUAGGUACAAAAUGGUGGACAACAAAGGGAGCUGUGUGGUUUAGUAACUAUAACAUAAACACCAGAAAACCAGUGAACGGAUUCAACGGCAGGUACACUGGUCUUUCUGAUGGUGAAAGAAGAUAAGAGAUAAAUCAUUUUCUACACAUAUCAGAGUGGCAGUUGCCCUUAGUUUAAGCUAUUGAUUGUUUUAUACAAUAGUUGUGAAGAGUGAAGAGAAACCGAGCCGCCGGGAAGAGACUGACAAGGUCCCGGACCCCGAUUCAGCCUGCACACACAGGAGUUCGGUUUAUGGUGAGGAUAAACCCAGGCAACACCAAAUGCACUUCAAGGGUCCAGGUCAGCCAAAGGAGUGGCAAGACAGUCCAGCUAAAGGCUACAGCCGUGAAUCCCCGAGUUGCAUCCUUUCUCAAGGACUUUUUAGACUUCGACUGGCAUGUAGCAAAUAGUUGUUUGAUGCUGUAAUAAUGUUAAACAUUUCAAAUGUUGCAUCUUUAAUGUU